rnacentral:lncRNA from 1 species
UGUAGUGCGAGCGAUAAAAAAUUUGAUAGUUGGUAGUCGAGAUCUCAAGUUUUGAAUCUCAAUUGAUUCACAUUUUUAGCUAAGUUUAUUUCUAAAGAAAUAAACGAAAUGGAUAGCAUGCGCCCAGCUGAGAUGUUUUUAAAAAUACAAAAUUAUUGGUUUAAAGGAACUAUUAUUCUGUCCUGUGACAGAAUGUCAAAUUGAGUCGAAUCACGUUCGUAAUGACAGAAGACUAGGUUGGACCAAGUCGUGUUCGAAAUAACGAGACUGAUUGUACCGAAUCACAAUUGUAACUCGUGAACGUUAUGUCUAUAUGAUUCAAAUAAAUUGGUUAUAUUUUUUUAACAACUUGAGUUUUUAGAAUUAAUGAUUAAUGCCAAUUAUUCGAUAAAUGGCAUAAGAGAUAAAGGGUUACAAGUUCAUUUUCUGCUUGCUGCGAAUUUGUGAGAAAAUUUUUAUCGAAAUUUGCGAGAGAGGUCGACAAAUUUUUUUUUGGUACUACUAACUUUUUGGCCUUUUGAUCAUGUAUAAUAAGAGCCCUCCCCACUAUGCCAUCGUUAUUAACUUUUGAUCUAAUAAUUAAAAAAUUUGAACUAAAAGCGCAAAACUUAUAACGGCUAAAAACUUGAUGCUUUUAAAAUGUUCAGGCUCAAUAUGAAAAACUAUAAGAUAAAAUAAUUGAAGUCGAGAAUUUAAGUGCCAUAGUAUAGAGUCGUAUCGGAAACUUGCUGGCACUAUACGGUAGAGUAUGCGCCAGGUGAUGCCGAUACGUGUUGGUCAAAAAAGAUAUAUAUAUGUGCUGUCAAGCAAUCCCAGCUCAUUCACAUAGAAUUUUAACAUAUAAAAGGUAAAAAAAUGUGUAGAAUUUAUCAGAACUUUUGUUCGUUUUGGCUCAACAACAUAAUCUUUUAAAUUUUUAAUUUUAAUAUUCAAUAUUUGAAUUGAUUUGAUUCAAGCCAUUUAAUAAUUCUUNAUUCGAAUUUAAAAUUUUGGGUAUUAAUUAUUAAGUCCUGUGCCACUUGCGUUAGGGACUGUCGAUACAGGUCAACUUAUUAUAGAGAAUAAUAUGUGUUGAAAAACUAACUUAUUAAUAAUAUUUUAAAGGAAAAUAAUUGUAUUAGGUAAGCCCGAGGGUCAGUGCUUCUUACGUAGCCAUUCCAAUAUGUAUUUGGAGUCCUGUGGCAAAGUCUAAUAAGAGAUGUUCCACGGGGAAAUUAAGCUUCAAAAAUUUCUAGAAGAUUGCAGAAGAAAAUGUAGCAAGGUGGAGUAGAAGACAAGCCAGGGUACUGCAAGAACUGAAAAAAACGAACUGCUUAGUUGGAAGCUUUUUUCAGAGGUUCCUAUUGGCUUUUUCUCACAGAGAUUCCAACAUUUAGGAAAUGCUAUUGUGUACUAUAAUAUUUUUAAUGUUUAGAAAAUGUCACCGACUAUUUGUACUGCAAGCGAUAAAAAAAUUUGAUAGUUGGUAAUCGAGAUCUCAAGUUUUGAAUCUCAAUUGAUUCACAUUUUUAGCUAAGUUUAUUUCUAAAGAAAUAAACGAAAUGGAUAGCAUGCGCCCAGCUGAGAUGUUUUUAAAAAUACAAAAUUAUUGGUUUCAAGGAACUAUUAUUCUGUCCUGUGACAGAAUGUCAAAUUGAGUCGAAUCGCGUUUGUAAUGACAGAAGACUAGGUUGGACCAAGUCGUGUUCGAAAUAACGAGACUGAUUGAACCGAAUCACAAUCGAAACUCGUGAACGUUAUGUCUAUAUGGUUCAAAUAAAUUGGUUAUAUCUUUUUAACAACUUGAGUUUUUAGAAUUAAUGAUUAAUGCCAAUUAUCCGAUAAAUGGCAUAAGAGAUAAAGGGUUACAAGUUCAUUUUCUGCUUGCUGCGAAUUUGU